AAUUCGAUUCAGGCCUAUCACAUGCAAGUCGAUCGGCAGCACGGAGCUUGCUCUGGUAAAAAAAAAAGAACGGGUGAGUAAUAUAUCGGAACGUACCCUAGAGUGGGGGAUAACGUAGCGAAAGUUACGCGAAUACCGCAUACGAGCUAAAGAUAAAAGUGGGGUAUCGCAAGACCUGAUGCUCGUGGAGCGACCGAUGUGUAAGUAGACUAGUUGGUAGGGUAAAAGCCUACCAAGGCAUCGAUCAGUAGCUGGUCUGAGAGGACGACCAGCCACACUUUUUGGGGGAACACGGUCCAGACUCCUACGGGAGGCAGCAGUGGGGAAUUUUGGACAA
rnacentral:rRNA from 1 species